CAAUUACCUACUUAACUAAAUACCCAGCCCAACAUUUGUUAAAAAACCUAAACCUAAUACCAGUAACCAGCCGCAACAUUAAUUUUAUUCUUCCUUGUUUGGUUAGUAACUCUGCUUCUUCUUCUUCAUAUUACUUCUUAUGCUUCUUCAUCCAUUAAGUAACUUGGGUUCUUCUUCUACUCAAGCACACCCAAAUCCCUACACAACCCGUCUCACCGACCAUCACCUUGUGUCUGUACUUCUUCCAUUCACAGAUCCUCAUUCUAUGUCAUUUCAUUCCAUUCUUCUUCUUUUGGGAACUGUUUUUUUAUUUAUAGAAACUGCCCGUUUUAGUGAUUCGGGUUAUUCCGAGUUACCUCCGGUUAACCCGGUUGAGCCGGAAUUUGAACGGUCUGAAACAACCUAAAUUCCAUUCGGUUAACUAUGCGAACCAGGGCCGCCUCCAAGGCCGGUCAAUGAUCGGACAGGUCCAACCGGCCGGUCCGGCUUGCAUAUCACUGGGUAAUCUAACUAAAUGACAUCCUUAAAUGAGUAAAUGGUAUUGCAUGCGGUUGUACAUUCAGAACUCUACCUUGCCAUUCGAAGUAAAAAAAUACCAUCCAUUCGAUGUAAAAUAAAACCAUAAGAGAGGUGCAAUGCAAUGCAAUGAGUAAUCCAAGUUUUAACCACAACUGCAAUGCUCCAACCUAUCAAAAAAUUAGAAUAUAUAAUCGCUCGAUUUUUUUUUUCCAAUUAACCUUAAACACACCAAAUUAGGUAUUUGUAGAUAAGCAAUAAAGAAAGUAUUCAGGGGUGAAGAGUGGAUUAUAAAUGAAGAACGAAAAUUGAAUUGGCUUACCGGGAAUGAAGAAUGAAAAUUCAAUGAAAUUGUAGAAACAGAUAAACCUGUUGUAGACGAAGACACUUAUCACAUAAACACAGAUAAAUCAGAAUGAAUGGAAAGAAUGUAACCCGUUGUAGACGAAGACAAAGAGCACAUAAACGAAGAAUGGAAAGAUUCUGCAUGGAAGAGAACCUCAACGUGGAAGAGAACCUCGACGUGGAAGAAUUGAAAAGAAU
rnacentral:lncRNA from 1 species